AGGGCUGUAGCUCCGUGGUUAGAGCAUCUGCUCUGCAUGCAGAAGAUGCCAGGUUCCAUCCCUGGUAUGUCCCA